rnacentral:rRNA from 1 species
CCGCGGGAUUAGAGUUUGAUCCUGGCUCAGAGCGAACGCUGGCGGCGUACUUAACACAUGCAAGUCGAACGAGGAUCGUCGGUGUAGCAAUACAUUGGCGGUCCUAGUGGCGCACGGGUGAGUAACACGUGGGUGACCUGCCCUUGAGCUCGGGAUACCCCCUCGAAAGGGGGGCUAAUACCGGAUACGUUCCUCGGUCGAAAGACUGAGGAGGAAAGGUGGCGCAAGCUGCCGCUCUUGGAGGGGCUCGCGGCCUAUCAGCUAGUUGGCGGGGUAACGGCCCACCAAGGCUAUGACGGGUAGCUGGUCUGAGAGGACGACCAGCCACACGGGGACUGAGACACGGCCCCGACUCCUACGGGAGGCAGCAGUGGGGAAUUUUCCGCAAUGGGCGAAAGCCUGACGGAGUGACGCCGCGUGUGGGACGAAGGCCUUCGGGUCGUAAACCACUGUCAGUGGGAAAGAUGGGUGUCGGUGUUAAUACCAUCGGCAUCUGACGGUACCUGCAGAGGAAGCCCCGGCCAACUCUGUGCCAGCAGCCGCGGUAAGACAGAGGGGGCAAGCGUUGCUCGGAAUUACUGGGCGUAAAGGGCGCGUAGGCGGGAUGGUAAGUCGGUCGUGAAAUCCCUCGGCUCAACCGAGGAACGUCGAUCGAUACUACCGUUCUUGAGGGUUGCAGAGGAGACUGGAAUUCCCGGUGUAGCGGUGAAAUGUGUAGAGAUCGGGAGGAACACCGGUGGCGAAGGCGGGUCUCUGGGCAAUUCCUGACG